rnacentral:rRNA from 1 species
GACAGAGGGUGCAAACGUUGUUCGGAAUUACUGGGCGUAAAGCGCGUGUAGGCGGCAGGGUGUGUCGGAUGUGAAAUCCCACGGCUCAACCGUGGAAGUGCACUCGAAACUGCAUAGCUAGAGUCCUGGAGAGGAAGGUGGAAUGCUUGGUGUAGAGGUGAAAUGCGCAGAUAUCAGGAGGAACACCGGUGGCGAAGGCGGGUCUCUGGGCCGAUACUGACGCUGAGGAGCGAAAGCGUGGGGAGCGAACAGG